CGAAGGGGGCUAGCGUUGUUCGGAAUUACUGGGCGUAAAGGGCGCGUAGGCGGUCCUGAUCGUCGGAUGUGAAAGGCCUGGGCUCAACCUGGGAACUGCAUCCGAUACGGCGGGACUGGAGUGUGGGAGAGGUUGGUGGAAUUCCCAGUGUAGAGGUGAAAUUCGUAGAUAUUGGGAAGAACACCGGUGGCGAAGGCGGCCAACUGGACCACAACUGACGCUGAGGCGCGAAAGCGUGGGGAGCAAACAGGAUUAGAUACCCUGGUAGUCCACGCUGUAAACGAUGCGUGCUAGACGUUGGGCACCCUAGGUGUCCGGUGUCGUCGCUAACGCUUUAAGCACGCCGCCUGGGGAGUACGGCCGCAAGGUUA
rnacentral:rRNA from 1 species